rnacentral:lncRNA from 10 species
CUGAUUUUGGUAGCAUCCUUUGGUCUCUUCUAGUCUGGGAGUCAGAGAAAGUUUGCAUCAAAAUGUCAUCAGGGAUUCAUUUCCAUCAUUUCAAGCAGGGUCAUCUUGGAACAGGACACAGGAUAGCCAAAAACAAUCCAUUGAUACACUUGGUGACAUUAAUUGAGAAAAAAACAAUAUGGUCUGGCCAUGGAGGCAUGGUAUCCGUAACAUCCCCCAAAGGAGCUAAAGAAGAAAUCCACAAUUUACCAUGAGCAUUUCUCGUCUGAAGAUUGCCAAGCGAUUCCUCCAGGACAUUCCUCAAGAUCAAUUUCUGUUCAUCCACCUUGUCCUGGGAGGGACAUCAAUGGGUUUCCAUGUCCUUUGGCUUCUGGUUGAGUUCACUCAGUGGAGAACCCUGGCAAGAGGCAGGAAAAGGGGAGGAAGGUAAGAUCA